rnacentral:rRNA from 1 species
GAUGAACGCUGGCGGCGUGCCUAAUACAUGCAAGUCGAGCGAACGGACGAGAAGCUUGCUUCUCUGAUGUUAGCGGCGGACGGGUGAGUAACACGUGGAUAACCUACCUAUAAGACUGGGAUAACUUCGGGAAACCGUAGCUAAUACCGGAUAAUAUUUUGAACCGCAUGGUUCAAAAGUGAAAGACGGUCUUGCUGUCACUUAUAGAUGGAUCCGCGGUGCAUUAGCUAGUUGGUAAGGUAACGGCUUACCAAGGCAACGAUGCAUAGCCGACCUGAGAGGGUGAUCGGCCACACUGGAACUAAGACACGGUCGCGACUCCUGCGGGUAGCAGGAGUAGGGAAUCUUCCACAAUGGGCGAAAGCCUGACGGUGCAACGCCGCGUGAGUGAUGAAGGUCUUCGGAUCGUAAAACUCUGUUAUUAGGGAGGAACAUAUGUGUAAGUAACUGUGCACAUCUUGACGAUACCUAAUCAGAAAGCCACGGCUAACUACGUG